rnacentral:misc_RNA from 1 species
UUUGGUCUUAGUAUAAGUCUAGCCAGUUUUUGAUUGGAAAGGAGCAAUAACCAACACUCUUGAUAGAAAAAGAAAUUGGUUAUUGUUCCUUUAUUUAGUGCUCUUUUCUUUACAUAAGUUUUUCUUUACUUCAACAUAAGAAAAAGUAUUCUAGUCUUAGGGAUUGCUUUAUGAUUGCUUAUCAUACUUUUUUCCUUAGAUAUGAAUUUAUAUACAUUCUUUUCAACCCUUUGUAAGGCUUUGUGAGAUUAUUAUCUUCUAGUUUUUUUUUUCAAAUAAAAUARAAAGGUUCUAAUUUUUCUGCUUCUUCUAUCUCAUAAUUAAGAUAGAAAAAU